rnacentral:rRNA from 1 species
AGUGAACGCUGGCGGUAGGCCUAACACAUGCAAGUCGAACGGCAGCACAGUAAGAGCUUGCUCUUACGGGUGGCGAGUGGCGGACGGGUGAGGAAUACAUCGGAAUCUACUUUUUCGUGGGGGAUAACGUAGGGAAACUUACGCUAAUACCGCAUACGACCUACGGGUGAAAGCAGGGGAUCUUCGGACCUUGCGCGAUUGAAUGAGCCGAUGUCGGAUUAGCUAGUUGGCGGGGUAAAGGCCCACCAAGGCGACGAUCCGUAGCUGGUCUGAGAGGAUGAGCAGCCACACUGGAAUUGAGACCAGGUCCAGAAUCCUACGGGAGGCAGCAGUGGGGAAUAUUGGACAAUGGGCGCAAGCCUGAUCCAGCCAUACCGCGUGGGUGAAGAAGGCCUUCGGGUUGUAAAGCCCUUUUGUUGGGAAAGAAAAGCAGCAGGUUAAUACCCCGCUGUUCUGACGGUACCCAAAGAAUAAGCACCGGCUAACUUCGUG